rnacentral:rRNA from 1 species
AUUGAACGCUGGCGGCAUGCCUUACACAUGCGAGUCGAACGGCAGCACGGGUGCUUGCACCUGGUGGCGAGUGGCGAACGGGUGAGUAAUACAUCGGAACAUGUCCUGUAGUGGGGGAUAGCCCGGCGAAAGCCGGAUUAAUACCGCAUACGAUCUACGGAUGAAAGCGGGGGAGCUUCGGGCCUCGCGCUAUAGGGUUGGCCGAUGGCUGAUUAGCUAGUUGGGGGGGUAAAGGCCUACCAAGGCGACGAUCAGUAGCUGGUCUGAGAGGACGACCAGCCACACUGGGACUGAGACACGGCCCAGACUCCUACGGGAGGCAGCAGUGGGGAAUUUUGGACAAUGGGCGAAAGCCUGAUCCAGCAAUGCCGCGUGUGUGAAGAAGGCCUUCGGGUUGUAAAGCACUUUUGUCCGGAAAGAAAUCCUUGGCCCUAAUACGGUCGGGGGAUGACGGUACCGGAAGAAUAAGCACCGGCUAACUACGUG